rnacentral:rRNA from 1 species
UACGGAGAUGGCAAGCGUUGUUCGGAAUCACUGGGCGUAAAGCGCACGCAGGCGGUCGGGUCAGUUGGAUGUGGAAUCGUCCGGCUCAACCGGGCAACGUCGUUCAAUACUGCCCGACUGGAGCACGGUAGGGGAGAGUGGAACUCCUGGUGGAGCGGUGAAAUGCGUAGAUAUCAGGAGGAAUGCCGGCGGCGAAGGCGGCUCUCUGGACCGUUGCUGACGCUGAGGUGCGAAAGCCAGGGGAGCGAACGGGAUUAGAUACCCGUGUA